rnacentral:rRNA from 1 species
UACGUAGGAGGCAAGCGUUGUCCGGAGUUACUGGGCGUAAAGGGCCCGCAGGCGGUGGAGUAAGUUUGGAGUGACAGUUGGUGGCUUAACUGCCAAAGUGCUUCGAAAACUGACAGACUUGAGGGCUUCAGAGGGACACGGAAUUCCGGGUGGAGUGGUGAAAUGCGUAGAAGAUCCGGAGGAACACCAAAGGCGAAGGCAGUGUCCUGGGGAGUACCUGACGCUCAGGUGCGAAAGCCAGGGGAGCGAACGGGG